GAUGAACGCUGGCGGCGUGCCUAAUACAUGCAAGUCGAGCGAACAGACGAGGAGGUUGCUACUCUGACGUUAACGGCGGACGUAAGAGUAACACGUGGAUAACCUACCUAUAAGACUGGGAUAAGUUCGGGAAACCGGAGCUAAUACCGGGUAAUAUAUUGAACGGCAUGGUUCAAUAGUUAAAGACGGUUUUGCUGUCGCUUGUGGAUGUAUGCGCGGCGCAUCAGCUAGUUGGUAAGGUAGCGGCUUACCAAGGCAACGAUGGGUAGCCGACCUGAGAGGGUGACCGGCAACAUUGGGACUGAGAGACGGCCCAGACUCCUACGGGAGGCAGCAGUGGGGAAUAUUGCACAAUGGGCGCAAGCCUGAUGCAGCAACGCCGCGUGCGGGAUGACGGCCUUCGGGUUGUAAACCGCUUUCAGCAGGGACGAAGCUUUUUGUGACGGUACCUUCAGAAGAAGCACCGGCUAACUACGUG
rnacentral:rRNA from 1 species